rnacentral:rRNA from 1 species
UACGGAGGGAGCUAGCGUUGUUCGGAAUUACUGGGCGUAAAGCGCGCGUAGGCGGCUUUGUAAGUUAGAGGUGAAAGCCCGGGGCUCAACCCCGGAACUGCCUUUAAAACUGCAUCGCUUGAAUCCAGGAGAGGUGAGUGGAAUUCCGAGUGUAGAGGUGAAAUUCGUAGAUAUUCGGAAGAACACCAGUGGCGAGGGCGGCUCACUGGACUGGUAUUGACGCUGAGGUGCGAAAGCGUGGGGAGCAAACAGG